rnacentral:rRNA from 1 species
UACGUAGGGUGCAAGCGUUGUCCGGAAUUAUUGGGCGUAAGAGCUUGUAGGCGGUUUGUCGCGUCUGCUGUGAAAUUUCGGGGCUCAACCCCGAACUUGCAGUGGGUACGGGCAGACUAGAGUGUGGUAGGGGGGACUGGAAUGCUUGGUGUAGCAGUGAAAUGCGUAGAUAUCAAGCGGAACACCAGUGGCGAAGGCGAGUCCCUGGACAACACCUGACACUGAGGCACGAAAGCUAGGGGAGCAAACAGG